rnacentral:misc_RNA from 1 species
CUCGGCCAAAAAUACUAGGCAUUGGAAAACAUUCUUAUAUUUUCGUUUAAAUGCUUUUGGGCAAAUUGUAAACUGACAACUCCCAUCCCCAGCCGUUUGACGGUUUCCAAAUUGACAGUGCAACCGGUGGAACAGGAGGAGCACCAGCAGCGUUACCCAGGAAACCAGCGGCGCAGCCACAACAAUCGCCCGUUGAGAGCGCAGAGAUAAGAGCGCCGCAGUUCCAGUCUUUCUAGACUCUAGAGCUUCCAGCGAUACCAGCAGUGACGCAGCUGACGCCCCAGAUCCCAGAUACCAGCAGCAGACCGCCCCAAGCAGAACGAUCAUGUCCAGCGACGCCAAUACGCCCGUGCUGCGCAACUGCAUCCGCUUGCCGCUGGCGGAGGACGAGCUACUGGAGGUGACGGCCAAGGCCAAGGACUAUGCAAUCAUGCACGGCGCCGCCAUGCGAUCGAAGACGGCCUUCAGUCCGGACUCGCUGAAUUUCGCCCCCUUCGUCCUGGUGCCUUCCUCGUUUCCGCGCAAGGAGUUCGAAAAGGCGGUGGCCCUGCAGCCGAUCAUCAAUCGACUGAUGCACAAUGUGGCCCACGACGAGGAGUUCAUCACGACGACGCUGGCGGAGACGAUCAAAGUGGACGAGUUCACGGCCAAUCUGUUUAACAUCUACCGCAAGGUGCUGGCGCACGGAUUCACCCAGAAAACAUCGCUGGGGAUGCUGCGCAGCGAUCUGAUGCUGGAGUCCGGCUGUCCCGAGCUGUCGCCACGGGCGCUGCGAACGGCGGCUGGUGAGGAUGGUGGUCAGGAUGCGGGCGCUGCUGUGGGGCAAAUAGCUGGAGCUGUCGGAGCUGCAGGAGUCGGAACUGCCGCUGGCACGGGCAGCAAGGAGAAGGAGGAGCAGAAGGAGCACAGGGAGGUCCAGCUGAGCCGGGCCACCAAAGAGCCGGAACGGAGGGCGACCGGCGCCCACUCCGCUUACUGCUGCUGGAAGCAAGUCGAGAUCAAUACGAUAGCAUCGGGCUUUGGCCACUUGGGACCAGCAAGUAAAACCAUACAAAGGCAUAUAGCAUCGGUCUGUUGCGAUCCGACUAUAUGGCACACGUGUCCGAGGGCUGUGCGAUAAAGCAGGUCGAGAUCAACACGGUGGCCUCCAGUUUCGCUGGCAUAGCCACCCAAUUGGUGCCGCAGCAGAAAUUCGUACUCAGCGAGCUGGGACAUGCGGAUAAGCUGCACAAU